GGGGCCCGCACAAGCGGUGGAGCAUGUGGUUUAAUUCGACGCAACGCGAAGAACCUUACCAGGGCUUGACAUCCCCUGACCGCGUAUGAAAGUACGUUUUCACCCUCGGGUGACAGGGAGACAGGUGGUGCAUGGUUGUCGUCAGCUCGUGUCGUGAGAUGUUGGGUUAAGUCCCGCAACGAGCGCAACCCCUACGUUUAGUUGCUAACGCGUGAAGGCGAGCACUCUAGACGAACUGCCGUUGACAAAACGGAGGAAGGUGGGGAUGACGUCAAAUCAUCAUGCCCCUUAUGUUCUGGGCUACACACGUGCUACAAUGGCCGGUACAGACGGACGCAAAGCCGCGAGGUGGAGCAAAUCCUAAAAAGCCGGUCUCAGUUUGGAUUGCAGGCUGCAAUUCGCCUGCAUGAAGUCGGAAUCGCUAGUAAUCGCAGGUCAGCAUACUGCGGUGAAUACGUUCCCGGGCCUU
rnacentral:rRNA from 1 species